UAUAUAAAUAUAUCAAUUCGACACAAACACAUUUGUAUUUGUAAUUUUUUUUUUUAAAACACACGAGUCACUGCUGAAACAAAUACCACUCCAGUGAUUGGCACACGCGAGCACCCACACAGGUACGUUGCUAUGAUUUGAAAUCGCAUUGUCGCCCUGGGGAGCCAAUCAGCACGCACGCGAGGCGGAGAGGGGCGUCGCGUUCGGUUUCGAGCACCAAUCGGGUGAGUGCGCGAGGCGGACAGGAGGCGUGGUCAGUAGCUCGGUGCUGUGAUGAUGAAGUGAACAGGAGGGGAGGGAGGGGGGAAAGGGGGGAGAAUCCAAUCCGGUUUUAGCUAGUUUGUGUUUCGAUGGGACGUUAACGUCUUCCUGCGCUGAAACCUGUGUGUCUUUUUAUCGAGCUAACUAAGCACUGUUGUUAGCUAUUUUUAGUCUCUUUGCCUUGCUUACUUUCCCCCUCUUCUUGUAUCUUAUUCCUGGUUUUAUUUUUUAUUUUUGUGUGUGUGUGUGUGUGUGUGUUUUAACACCUCAAAAGCAGCCAUGCCCAAAAGGAGCAAAGUAAGUACUUAUGUGUGAUACUUGGAAUUCUCUUUGAUCUGUCUUUUAAUCGGUGUAAAUGUGCAAAACGUGCCUUAUUGCAUUGCUUUUAAAACAUGCAUUCGAGAGUUAUAUCUCUGUUUUUGCUUUGCUCGCAUUAAGUUUGCAGUGUGCAUUCGUUUUUGUUGCACGUUUAAAAAGAAAAAAUAUAUAUAUACUUAUGUGUUUUGAUUUUGCCACGCGCUUCAUUUCGGUGUGCACGGACUUGGGUUUUCCUUCUUUAACGCGUUGCACGAGCGCGUGCAUUUCUGUUUCAGUUAAGUGCAUGAAGGUGGUUUUGUUUUUUCUGAAGCAGGUUAUUUUCAUGCUCACUGUUUACAAAUGGACGAAGUAGCCCUGGAUACAUGGAGCUAGACAAAGGGGUGUAACUGAGGCGAUCUCUACUUUUCACUUAUUCUUCCCUCUCCAUAACCUCAUAAGCUAAAUGCACGUUUAAAAUAAAUAAAUAAAAUUACAUGCAUUGUAGGUCGUUGUGCUUUUUCGAACGUAUACGAAUCGUUUUGUAUGUGUUUUGGGGUUUUAAAUGCAAAAAAAAAACUCGAUCCUUGUUUUGGAAAACGGUCUUGUAUGGAAAUGCUCCUCCAAGAAAAGCUCAAUGGUCUCUGGUAUGAUCCCUUCGACCGCUUUUUGUUUUUUUUUCCUUUCUUUUUCUCGAAAAACACAUUAAAAAUAAAACAAACGCGUGUGUUUCUCUGGGAGUGAAUUCUACUUGUAUAAAUGUAUUAAUGUGCUUAUAGACGAUACACGUUCGUCGCCAUAGCUGUGAAUUCGUGCAAAUCUGUGGUUGUAAAAAUGGCGAAUCUUGCACACCGCAGCGACUCUUGUCGUUUUUCUGGCCUUUUCCUUUCCUUUAUAACGGCCCCAAACUAUCCGAGUAUGUCCUGGCAACAAUGAAAAGCAAGGGGGGAAAUCAGAAUCGGUAUCAAAACGCCAUUUUAAUCGUAUAUCUUUAAUUAAAUCGUCAACGUUGCUGAAUAGAUUAGUGUGGAAGGGAGGCGGGGUUCAUAGUUCCCUCCUUCUCCCUCGUGCGCACACGGGCAGCCAAUCAGCACACAGCGGCAAGAAAAUGGCGGGCUUUUGAGAUCAACAUUAGUUUUUAUAUAUAUAUGAAGGGGGUGGGGCGGUGUUUGCAGUUUGAGCACCAUUGAGUUGCCAUUAAAGUUCUUGUUUCUAUUCUUCUUUCAAGAAGUAUAACAUCUUGUUUUUCUCCAUUUAAACUGAUUAAAAUUUCUUUGUUUUUCAGGCGAACAAUGACACUGAAGCCAGUGAGGUAAGUUUGUUUUGAAUCGUAAGACGAACGCUGUUUUCACUACUCAAAUUUGUGACGGCACAAAUUCACACGUUCCUUUGAUGUUUUUGUGUGUGUGUGUUUUCAGCCCAAAAGGAGAUCGGCGAGAUUGGUAAACGUAAGUAACCACCCGAUGAGCAAUACACCCAGCACAUUUAGUUUGUACAAAUAACUGUUUUUUUUUUUUGUUUGUGUGUUUUUUUUUUAACCACAAACCGCAUGAUUUUAUUUGAUUUUCAGAAACCGGCACCUCCUAAGGCUGAGCCGAAGCCAAAGGCAAAGGUAAACACACACAAAAAAAUAAACAAGCCUGUCGGUUUGUUUUACUUCCUUGUUAAAGUACUGAGAUUGAUAGUUUAUUAAUCGGUAAUGACAUGUUCUUUGUAGAAGGCACCUGCCAAACCCAAAAAGACUAAGGAGCCCAAGGAAGACAAGCCCAACGACGAGGAGAAGAAAGAGGAAGUCCCUGCUGAGAACGGCGAGGCAAAGGAUGACGAUGAGGCACCAGCAACAGAAGAGACGGAGAAGAAGGACGACGAAGCAGAAUAACGUCUUGUCUCGAACCAGUGCUCCCUGUACCUCUCUUCUUGUACAAUUCAGGGGAAUAUUUUUAUCUACUAUUUUCUAAAGGCAGUUUUUUUAGUAGUUUGAUUGUAGAGACACAUUUUUUAUGAAAGCUACAAUGCGUUUCGAGGGGGAUUUCAUCCCAUCCCACAUUUCUACAUCCAGAACAGUUAUUGUCUGUCAGUUCCUCUUUUCAAAGUGGGAAGGAGUUACGCCAUUGGUGCGCGCACACACAAACACAUUGCGCAUGGCGAUUACAAAGACAGUCGGACAACUUGCCCAAAUGACUAACAUUCCAUUGGCUCAAUGAGGGAUUUUUUUGUUGUUGUUGUUGUUGUUUGAAUGUGUGUAACCUGUUAUGUAUGCGUGCGUGGCGGGGAGGGGUGCGAAUCACUCAUCGUUUUCUUGUUUAUAAUGAGGCAGAUUACUUAGAACGUUUGUAAGCUGUGUACUGUAUGUUAAUUCUUGUACCGAUUCUGCUUAAUAAACCUACUUUGUAGUACUGGAGCUCUCCAUGUCAGGCCUGUGUAUCAUCACGUGUUUCGUUGUCUUUCCUGUGAUAGCACCACAAUAGAUCUAUAUAGCAGCUGUGAAACGAUCUUUGACUUUAUACGCAGCGUGUAAUGGUACCUUGUCCAGAUGUGGUCAAGACUGAAUCCUUGGCAAAGCUAAAAAUGCAUCGGCGUGUUAAAGCUUGGCCACCUUUUCAGGCCGGGUCUAAUGAUCGAGUGUAAGAUCUGGCAAAACUGUACAGCACUAGUACCAGCAGUAGCAAUAUACAUGUGCAACUACAAAUGUACAGUUUCUUUCAGCUCAUUGUUUAUAGAUGUAUCUCUGUGUAUUGUUUGAUUAAAGCGAGCCAAUAAAAAUUGUUUGUGAGACCUGUUUCUCCCGCUUUUAUGUUCAUCCACUUUGGGUUCACAACUACGUUAUUCAGUGUAUAAUGAUUCGAUUCAGCGCCGCCUCGCUAGUAUAUGAUACACACCUGUAAUACUUCUAUAUGUAACGUAAAAGACUAGUAAAAGUUAAUAUUACAGUUACUUGAUCGUAACUAGUUUAACAUCAUGUUGGUUCACGGCAUCGUGUCUAAAGCUUUAACUUUUUUAAAAAAAUAACAGCUUAAAAGUUCAAAUCCCAGGACUGAGAGAGCCCAUUGCUUAACCCUCAUUUGUUUACAUGCUUGUAGACUUCAUUUUUC
ensembl:lncRNA